GACGAACGCGGGCGGCGUGCUUAACACAUGCAAGUCGAACGCUGAAGGCCCAGCUGCUGGGUUGGAUGAGUGGCGAACGGGUGAGUAACACGUGAGUAACCUGCCCCCUUCUUUGGGAUAACGGUCGGGAACGGCUGCUAAUACCGGGUAUUCACUGUCCUUCGCAUGGGGGGUGGUGGAAAGGUUUUUUCUGGUGGGGGAUGGGCUCGCGGCCUAUCAGCUUGUUGGUGGGGUGAUGGCUUACCAAGGCUUUGACGGGUAACCGGCCUGAGAGGGUGACCGGUCACAUUGGGACUGAGAUACGGCCCAGACUCCUACGGGAGGCAGCAGUGGGGAAUAUUGCACAAUGGGCGAAAGCCUGAUGCAGCGACGCCGCGUGAGGGAUGACGGCCUUCGGGUUGUAAACCUCUUUCGCUCAUGGUCAAGCCGCAACAAUGGUUGUGGUGAGGGUAGUGGGUAAAGAAGCACCGGCUAACUACGUGCCAGCAGCCGCGGUAAUACGUAGGGUGCGAGCGUUGUCCGGAAUUAUUGGGCGUAAAGGGCUUGUAGGCGGUUUGUCGCGUCUGCCGUGAAAUCCUCUGGCUUAACUGGGGGCGUGCGGUGGGUACGGGCAGGCUUGAGUGCGGUAGGGGAGACUGGAACUCCUGGUGUAGCGGUGGAAUGCGCAGAUAUCAGGAAGAACACCGGUGGCGAAGGCGGGUCUCUGGGCCGUUACUGACGCUGAGGAGCGAAAGCGUGGGGAGCGAACAGG
rnacentral:rRNA from 1 species